rnacentral:rRNA from 1 species
AGUGAACGCUGGCGGUAGGCCUAACACAUGCAAGUCGAACGGCAGCACAGUAAGAGCUUGCUCUUACGGGUGGCGAGUGGCGGACGGGUGAGGAAUACAUCGGAAUCUACUUUUUCGUGGGGGAUAACGUAGGGAAACUUACGCUAAUACCGCAUACGACCUACGGGUGAAAGCAGGGGAUCUUCGGACCUUGCGCGAUUGAAUGAGCCGAUGUCGGAUUAGCUAGUUGGCGGGGUAAAGGCCUACCAAGGCGACGAUCCGUAGCUGGUCUGAGAGGAUGAUCAGCCACACUGGAACUGAGACACAGUCCAGACUCCUACGGGAGGCAGCAGUGGGGAAUAUUGGACAAUGGGCGCAAGCCUGAUCCAGCCAUACCGCGUGGGUGAAGAAGGCCUUCGGGUUGUAAAGCCCUUUUGUUGGGAAAGAAAAGCAGCAGGUUAAUACCCCGCUGUUCUGACGGUACCCAAAGAAUAAGCACCGGCUAACUUCGUG